GAUCAUGUAGUGGUGUAAAAAUCAAUAGACAAAAUUAAUACAUAAAAAAAAUUUAUUAUUUUUAUGUCUAAGAUUAAACACAAUUGAACUCGGUAGGUCCAAACCGAAAAGUUGCUCAGACAGAGAUUUUGAGUUUUACGAUGGACAUUUUUGUUUAUAAAUGCUUAUAAGAGAAAUGAUUAGUUGGUUGCUAUUGAGUAAUAGAGUAGAUCAGGUACAAGAAUGCAUCAAAUUAAAUUUUCGCAAAUCUUCUACCAUGGUUAGGUUGAUCUUUUAAUAAAUCGAUUUUGGUUUUUGGUGUAACUCUAAAACAAAUAAUUGUUGAAUGAAUUGAAUGAAUGUUUAUACGGGUGAUUCAUUUAUCAAACAACACUAAUUAUUUCAAAAAGUGUAAAUUUUUUUGAAAAUAUUUUUUUACAUAGUUUCAACUUUCACUUAUAAAACGCUAUAUCUAUAAUUUUCAAUUAUCAAGCUCUUGGAUUUGGAAAGUAAUAAUGCUAUAUCAUUUGAUGUUCAAAUUCCUGAUACGUUGUACGUUUUAUAACAAUUGUAUUCAGUACUCAAUGUUAAAUUUUCAAAAAUAUUAAAAAUGAUAAGAAUAAAUUAAUAUUUUUUGACGAAGAAGAGUGUAGGAAGUCCCACGCCUGCAUUUAUAAUGAUAAGAAUAACCCGUUAUUAAGCAACCCAAUAUAUUGAUGUAUUGAUGUAAAAUGUAUACAUAUAUUAUGCAUAUCAUUUUUUAAUGUAAGAACCCCCCCCCCCCCCAUCAUUAAAAAUAGCUGUGUACGCCACUAGGUACGUGCAACACCGGAAGUUAGCAUUAUAUAUUUUAUUCUUAUUGUAUUGUUUGUAUUGCUUAGGUGGUUCUAACAGUUUUAAAGCUUGUCUUCCAAUAUUUCAAAAAAAAAACAAACCACCAAAGGAAGUUAAAGUUCAAAGUAUGAAAGAGUGGUGUGAAAGUGAAUGGAAAAAAGAAUUAAGUGGUAAAAAAAAAUAAUUUAAAAUUUUUAUUAUAUACUUGCACUUUUAAAAUUAUAAUGGUUUAAUGUAAGAAAUUGUAUUCUUGAUUAUAUAAAAUGAUUUUAAAUUUUAUGUUUUUUAUUAAUAUAAUCUUGUUAGAUGUAUUAAUAAUAUCGUUUUAUUUGAUAAAGCAUAGUUUU